UGUUCUUCUUCGAUAAUUUUUUCCCAAUUAUCUAUCUUCAUCUUCUUCCUCUUCUGCUGUAAAAACUUCCCCUGUGAGUGGUUUCUCGAUCUAGGUCUCAAAUUGGUUUGUGUUAGCAUUUCUCAGGAUUGAAAAAUCAGAACCUCCAUCGAUUUUGGAUUUGAAUUCAGUGAGUUUGAUGGGUUGUUUUUGGAUUACUCGUGGCAAUGUGGUAAUCAGGACACCAUGGUAAAACUGUUGGAGCUGGCUGAGGUGGGUUUAGCUCAUCUUCUUACCGAUUUUUCUUUUGGAGGAGACGGAUUGAUAGUUUUCAGUAGUUUUGGUGGCACUACUCUAUGUUUACACUGUAGGCAGCACAUCUCAAAGAAAAAAUUGGCAAAAUGUAUAGCGGAGAACAUAUAAACAACACUGAGGAUAGAUCUGUUCUCCAUGUGGCUCUACGUGCUCCAAGAGAUGUUGUUAUGUCCAGUGAUGGGAUAAAUGUAGUUCAAGAGGUUUGGAAGGUUUUCGACAAGAUCAACGAAUUCAGUGAAAAAAUUUGCGGUGGAUCUUGGAUAAUGCUAGUUUAAAUUUGUAUUGAUACGUCUUGAUUUUAAUCUUACACUUAUAAAUAUUGAUAGGAAAGUUUGACAGACUGGAGUCACGGGGAAGGCAUUGAAAGAUGUUGUAGCUGUUGGAAUUGGAGUCACGGUUAUUUGUUGCAAGAAGGUUUAAUUCACUCACACUCUAAUUCUCUAAGUCGCAGAAAUCCUCAAGAUCAACCUUCGUGGUUUCGUGAUUGCCGAGUUGUGGAUGUUGUGAACAUGCUGCCCACUCCGAAAGGUGGAACCAUGGAGCUGCUAUACAUGCAGAUUUUUGAAUGUUUGAUAACUUCUCUAGUUGUAUUUCCCAACAACAUUGGCUCCUGCUCGUGACUUCUGGUUGCUGCGCUAUAAGAAGAGGAUGAUGUUAUAGUUAAUCCAUUCGUUUUGAGUUGUAACAGUCUUGCAAAGCCAUCCCCUGCGAUUGAAACAUUUUGUACCAGCAUAUGAUCUUGAUAUGGACUUUGUUCUUGGUGUGGGAGGAUAUGAUAUGGAUAGGAGUUAGGGGCUAAGAAUAGAGAAAGUAGUGCCAAACAAACUGUUCAACACAGUGACACACUGGUGGCUCCAAGCCACAUGGAAUACGCAAAAUUGGGUCGAAUGGAGAUGUGGAAGCAUACUGGCAGUUCGAUGGAAAUUUUGAUGCCAUGUGCCAACGAUAUGGGCCUUAUCCCAAAUGUUCUAAUUGAGAAUUUCGACGAUGAUAGAUGGUAUGAAUCAAAUGGUAAGGAGUAAUAAAGGGUCGUUCUGGAGCAGGAGCAAUCAAAUACAUUUCUAGUGCAGAUAGUGCACGGUUUACGUCCAAGUUGUGUACAACUUUGGUAGUCUGAGAACAUCACCUUUUGAUUGUUUUUGCGGAGUUUUUUCUUUUGUCGUAUGAGAUUUAUUAUUCCAAAUAUUUGAAUCAUUUUUGUGAACAACUUGAUUUCAUGAAUGAGAAUGUUUUUUGGGACAAAA